GUACCAUGUAGAAAUAUAAUUUUACUAUAUAAUUCAUUUAUUAUAGCAUUUGGAAUAAAUUGGCUGACCACAAUAUCACUUCAUUGUUUUGUCAUCAUGAUAUCACACAUUGAUGAGACUGUGAUGUUAUCCUGAAUUUGGACAUGACUCUGAAAGAUUUAUAUGAAGAUAUUUUCACAACCAUCCCAAAAGUCCCACCCCCAGAUAAUUUUGACCCAGGAUAGCCUAUGUUAUCUGCAGGUCAAGAAAAGUCUCCAUUCAAAGUUUGGUUUCAAGGGAUUAAACACUUCAGGAGCCUUUAUGGAACAGACAAACAUUGCAUUUUAUAUAUAUAUAUAUAUAUAUAGAUGGGUUGUUCCUACUGGAGCAGGUAACAGAUAUGGC
rnacentral:lncRNA from 1 species